rnacentral:tRNA from 1 species
GGGCCCGUGGCCUAGCCAGGAUAGGGCGCCGGCCUUCGGAGCCGGAGGUCCCGGGUUCAAAUCCCGGCGGGCCCG